CAGAGGGUGCGAGCGUUGUUCGGAAUUACUGGGCGUAAAGCGCGCGCAGGCGGCCCUUUAAGUCUACCCGUGAAAUGCCGGAGCUCAACUCCGUGCACGCCGGGGGAUACUGGAGGGCUGGAGACAGGUAGAGGCAGGCGGAAUUCCGGGUGUAGCGGUGGAAUGCGUAGAGAUCCGGAAGAACACCAGAGGCGAAGGCGGCCUGCUGGGCCUUGUCUGACGCUGAGGCGCGAAAGCGUGGGGAGCGAACAGGAUUAGAUACCCUGGUAGUCCACGCCGUAAACGAUGGGCACUGGGCGCGGGUGGGAUCGACCCCUUCCGUGCCGCAGCUAACGCGUUAAGUGCCCCGCCUGGGGAGUACGGCCGUAAGGCUG
rnacentral:rRNA from 1 species